GACGAACGCUGGCGGCAUGCCUAAUACAUGCAAGUCGAACGAGAGGAAGGAAAGCAUGCUUUUCUGAAUCUAGUGGCGAACGGGUGAGUAACACGUAGGUAACCUGCCCAUGUGCCCGGGAUAACUUCUGGAAACGGAUGCUAAAACCGGAUAGGUAGCAGACAAGCAUUUGACUGCUAUUAAAGUGGCUAAGGCCAUGAACAUGGAUGGACCUGCGGUGCAUUAGCUAGUUGGUGAGGUAACGGCCCACCAAGGCGACGAUGCAUAGCCGGCCUGAGAGGGCGGACGGCCACAUUGGGACUGAGACACGGCCCAAACUCCUACGGGAGGCAGCAGUAGGGAAUUUUCGUCAAUGGGGGGAACCCUGAACGAGCAAUGCCGCGUGAGUGAGGAAGGUCUUCGGAUCGUAAAGCUCUGUUGUAAGAGAAAAACGACAUUCAUAGGGAAUGAUGAGUGAGUGAUGGUAUCUUACCAGAAAGUCACGGCUAACUACGUGCCAGCAGCCGCCGUAA
rnacentral:rRNA from 1 species